rnacentral:tRNA from 1 species
GGUAAAAUGGCUGAGAUUAAGCGGUAAAUUGUAAAUUUACAGACGAAAAAUUUUUCUUUUACCA